rnacentral:rRNA from 1 species
ACACGACUCUCGGCAACGGAUAUCUCGGCUCUCGCAUCGAUGAAGAACGUANCGAAAUGCGAUACCUGGUGUGAAUUGCAGAAUCCCGCGAACCAUCGAGUCUUUGAACGCAAGUUGCGCCCGAGGCCAUUCGGCCNAGGGCACGCCUGCCUGGGCGUCACGC